rnacentral:rRNA from 1 species
GUAGGGAGCAAGCGUUGUUCGGAAUUAUUGGGCGUAAAGAGCGCGUAGGCGGCCAGGUAAGUCUGGUGUGAAAUCCCACAGCUCAACUGUGGAACUGCAUUGGAAAACUGCUUGGCUAGAGUGCGGGAGAGGAGAGUGGAAUUCCCAGUGUAGAGGUGAAAUUCGUAGAUAUUGGGAGGAACACCAGUGGCGAAGGCGGCUCUCUGGACCGCAACUGACGCUGAGGCGCGAAAGCUAGGGGAGCGAACGGGAUUAGAUACCCCGGUAGUCCUAGCCGUAAACGAUGGGCACUAGGUGUGGGAGGUAUCGACCCCUUCUGUGCCGUAGCUAACGCAUUAAGUGCCCCGCCUGGGGAGUACGGUCGCAAGACUA